CGUUCCUGCAAUGCCCGCCACAUCCUUGGAGCCUCUAGCAGCGAAGGCGAGGAAUUCGGGUGCUCGACCCGGCAGCUGACGGUAGAAAUGGAUGAAAUCGCCGCUCACUUUUUGGGGAUGUGAGCAGAAAAUGCCAUGCAAGGGGAGAUGGGAGAGGACGACAGAGCAGAGCGCACUUUGAUAUGUUUGAAUCCUCAAGUAUGGAGACGUAAUUCUCUGAGAGUAUUUGAUUGAAGACGGAAGAAAAUUUGAGAUCAUCUGGGUGGACAGAGGACAAGUAAGAACAGAAAAGGAAGAGAAGAGCAAGAGAUGAAUCUUGAGCAUGGGCCGAUCUCACACAGCCCGCUGACCCGGACGUCCCAGGUCGCGAACGCCACGCACCGAGCAGCAGCGCGGCCAGCGCCGGCAGCCCCGCGGCCCGAGCCCGCCGCAUGGCGCCGCUCCGCCGGCCGAGCCUCGCUGUGCCCCUGAGCCCCGGCUCUGCUGCGGCCGUGCCGCCUCCUCUGGGCCGCCGCCAGCUCCGCCCCGGGGCUCAGCCCUGCGCCGCUGCCGCUCGGCCUCUCGCCCAGUCCCGCCAGGGAACGGAGCGGAGGCGAGCGCGGGGGCUGCGGGGCGGCGCUCGGCUCUCUGCACGUCGCAAGCGGCGGCGCCGGGCUGGGGCCCAGGGCAUCGGGCUGGCAUCGUGCAGCUCAGCAUCGACACUCCCUGCCUUUCCUUCGCUCCCAUCAUCUGUUCCCUCACCUCCUCCCUUUGCUGUCCUGUGGGGACUCCCGAAUUG